CCCCACGGACAGCAUCUGAGA
rnacentral:misc_RNA from 1 species